rnacentral:rRNA from 1 species
GACGAACGCUGGCGGCGUGCUUAACACAUGCGAGUCGAACGGAAAGGCCCUGCUUUUGUGGGGUGCUCGAGUGGCGAACGGGUGAGUAACACGUGAGUAACCUGCCCUUGACUUUGGGAUAACUUCAGGAAACUGGGGCUAAUACCGGAUAGGAGCUCCUGCUGCAGGGUGGGGGUUGGAAAGUUUCGGCGGUUGGGGAUGGACUCGCGGCUUAUCAGCUUGUUGGUGGGGUAGUGGCUUACCAAGGCUUUGACGGGUAGCCGGCCUGAGAGGGUGACCGGCCACAUUGGGACUGAGAUACGGCCCAGACUCCUACGGGAGGCAGCAGUGGGGAAUAUUGCACAAUGGGCGGAAGCCUGAUGCAGCAACGCCGCGUGCGGGAUGACGGCCUUCGGGUUGUAAACCGCUUUCGCCUGUGACGAAGCGUGAGUGACGGUAAUGGGUAAAGAAGCACCGGCUAACUACGUG